rnacentral:rRNA from 1 species
CCUACGGGUGGCAGCAGUGAGGAAUAGUGGUCAAUGGGCGAGAGCCUGAACCAGCCAAGUCGCGUGAAGGAUGACGGCCCUACGGGGUGUAAACUUCGUUUGUCAGGGAGCAAGGGAGGCCACGUGGGGGCUUAGCGAGAGGACCUGAAGAAAAAGCAGCGGCUAACUCCGUGCCAGCAGCCGCGGUAAUACGGAGGAUGCGAGCGCUAUCCGGAUUUAUGGGGUUUAAAGGGUGCGUAGGCGGAAUAUCCAGUCAGCGGUAAAAAUUCGGGGCUCAACCCCGUCGUGCCGUUGAAACGGCUGUUCUUGAGUGGGCGAGACGUCUGCGGAAUGCGUGGUGUAGCGG